UUUUGUUUUUUUAAUCGUUUAAGUAACAAACGUUCUCUGUUUAGAUGUUUUUAGCGAACGUUUUCGUUCGUUAGCGUUCAGUAGCGAAUGUUCGUUAUUUAGUCUUUUUCAUUUUCUGUUUUAAUUUCGGCCAGGGACCUAUUCGCGAUGUUUUAUUUUUACAAAUUAGCCCCUGGUUUUCAAACGACCGCAUCUUUUUACUCGUUUAACCAAAUCCAACAAAACCAACACCCACUUCUUCGUUAUGAUCUCCUCUAUCCAGUUAAUCAACUUGAACAUGUUUUUGAAAGUUUUAAAAUUUGAAUUUAAACAGAUUUGAAUUUGAACUUCGUUUGAUCGUAACUCGAGUUUUAUAAGUCCGUUUGAGUUGAUUCUUUUUGCUAUUCGAAGCUCUUGACCUAAACUUUCUGAUAAAGCCAAAUUCUCAUAAUUUUGGUACUGUUAGAAAUUGUUUUAUGUGCAAGAGUUAUUUGCUUGGUUUUGAUGUUUUUCGAAUUGUCUUCUUCGUUCUUUCCGAUCUUUUGAGUGAUUGCUUAUGUGUGGUUACUAUUGCUUGCUUACGAUAGAUUGACCGGAGUGUGACGGGUAAAACUAUCAUCUUCAUCAACAGUACAGGCAAGUUCACACUUUGAUCAUAUCCCUUUCAUACCCAGUUUUUAUGCAUUAGAUUCAACCCUCAAACAUUGCAUGAGUAGGAUUGAUAUCAUGUGGGUAUUGGGAAGUAGUUGAUGAGGUAGGAACCUAUUGCCCUGCAUUCAAACCUUGGGAGUUACUAUUACGUUAUGCUUAUAUUGCCAUGCUAUGCUCGUAGACGUGGAUUGGGUUUGAGUGUAUUCCAUGACAGAUGUGAGAUUACUUAUUAAUGGUUCAACUUAAGGUGGCAACUUUAAUACACAUCUAGGUGGAUUGCUUGUUUGGGCACCAGGGGAAUCCAGUGUUGUCCUAGGAGAUCCCGGGGUAUCCGUGUAAGCAUCCUAAGGUCCGCCACCCAGGCUCAAAGGGAUCAUAAGAUUAUUCAUGCUAGAAACUUAUGUGUGCAGCCACAAGCUAUUAUGGGCUCUAGCCUAGUCGAGUAUGUUGCAUGACCUCUUCCGGUGGUAGGCUAGCAGAUGUAGGGGGAUGUAGGUUGGUACUGUCUACCCGGGGUUAGAGUGAAUGCUUCUGAAAGACUGUGUAUCGGUCAUCCGUUUCUCAAACACCCUGUAGUGCGAGAAAUCCAACGGAGGAGAUCGAGUCUUGUGGGGAAAAGUGCGCAAACCUUUGCAGAGUGUACAAUCUAAUCAUGGUUAGCCGUGUCCCCGGUUAUGGACAAAUCUUGAGUAUCUAGUACUUGGAUUAUCAUAUGGAUCUCAUCACUCUAAAUUAAUUUUGUUGGGUUAUUAAUUACCUAUUAAUUGGGAUUGAGAUGGGGAUUUACCAUUCUCAAUGUUUUCAACCAACUUUGUAGUUAAAUAAAAUAUAUUCCUUUGCAGUAGGGAAAAAUUGGCCUUUCGCAAAACAUUAUAACCAUAGAGCUUUUCCACCAACCAUAUAUGCAUGUAGUGAUAGCUAUUAUUCAUCUUUAUCCUAUGGUGUGAAUUUGCCAGUACAUUCAAUGUACCGACACUUUGUGGCUGCAAUGUCUCAUGUUGCAGGAUUCUUACGACGAGUAAGUGACACGUUAGGGUUACGAUUUCUACACUCAACUUUGCCGUUGGUGUUGAUGGGAAUCCACAACCUUGUUGUUACUUCCGCUAUUUGGAUUGAGGUAAUAGUAUUUACGUUACUUUAUACAUGUGAUUUACCUCUAUUAUAAAUCGUCGAGUACUGUGUGUGUCAGCAUACCGAUCUAGGGAUGACACUUAAGCACAUACACUUGACCGUCUGAGGUCGGGUCACUACAAGAUGGUAUCAGAGCACAUGUUGACUGCAGGACGUGACCCCUAGAAACUGGCAAGCCCAUAGGAAAGAUUUUUCUCUACAACUUUCUUUUCAAAAAGAUCUUUUACCUCUCUUCUCUUCUGAGCUUAUUCAAAUAUCCCCUUUUAGUGAGACCAUACCCCUUUUCCCCUUUUGACCAUCCGAAGAUUCGACUGAUGAGUCCACUCCAAGAAGGACAAGAUAUCGGACAACCAAGACCACUUCGAAAUGAAGAGGAUUAUUCCGUGCAAUAAUGGAAACUACAAAGGUUGAAGACUUCGAAGACUAGGAGAAUUUGAAGGCUCUUAAGAUUUUCUGGAUUGGUAUGACCUAGGAAGGCUACCCUUAUGGAACUUGUUAGACUAUUGAAGCUGUCAAUACCCGAGACCAAGGUGUAUCAGAGAAAGACAGGAACAUGGAGCAUUAGAACUCAAAGUUUUGUCAAGAAAACCCUAAGGCAGGAGAUAUCCACUAUGGAAUGAUAGCUCAUGGCAAUGACAAGGGCAGAAACAUGGUUAUCCGUGAUGCCAUCGCCCGCUGAUGGUAUGGUCACCGUGCUGAGUUAAACAUGCAUUUCUUCGGAAUGAUUGGAUGGUAGAAGGCUGAUGGAGCAUCUAUCAGCAAAGGAUGCAGUUUUAACCUUAGCCGGUGUAUUGCCAGGAUCUGGAGUAUUACAUCAAGAAUUUUAAGAUGGACCUUUAGGAAGCUGUAUUUGACAAAGAAGCAUUUCACGAAGAACUCAAGACCCCAGAAGCUGAGAAUAGCCAAGCUAGAGGAGCAAAACCUCGAGAUACCGGAGAUUCGUCAGGAACUGAAGGACAGUAGGACCAUGGUUCAUGCCAAGGAUGUUAAAACCCAGAAGUUUGGAACGCAACUCCAGAAAUAUUGAAGGACGUCACGAGAGACUUCGCGUCAAGAGAGAUGAUCUGGCAAAAGAACUUAAGGACAAGCACUUAUACAGAAGAAGCCAUCGGAGACAUGAACAAGACUUGAAGAGUUUGGUGACUUUGAAGAUUUAUUGACCUUUAGAAGACCAAACCCCUGUUAAAUACCUGUGUUAGAUGUGGCGGUUGUGAGCUGUCAUUUGUUUGAUGUUUUUCCGACAGCCACAAAAUAAAAUCUGUCUUUUCAAAACUUGUGUUUGUAUUGUGUGCAUCCCUCUCUAUCUCUCUUAUCCCACUCCAAACCCAUGGACCCAAUAGUGGAUGAAUGGAGAUGAGCUUAUAUUUUUUGGACCAAUGAAUCAAUGGAGACAGACCAAUGGAUUCAUAACAUGGAAGAUCAUAUGAAGAAAAACACUAUAGCCGGAAAGGACAUGGCCCAACAUGCUCUUCAGUACUUUGAAACAGGUGCUGCUACUUGGUGGAGGAUGUACCAAACCAUCAAUGGAUGGCAAGGAGUAACCACUUGGAAGGAAUUUAAGUUGACUAUGCUAAAGUCUCAUCUUGUGUCCCAGAAAUUGAAGCCUUAUGGAAGUGGUAUGAAGAAACCCGGUGCAUACAAGCUUUGUGGGGAAAUAGGACACAACCAGAAAGAACACAAGGAUGAAUGCCCUCAUUGUGAAGAAAGUCACCCAGCUGAAGAAUGCCCAACUAGGCAUAUACUUGUUUCUUGUGUGAAGGGACUACGCACUACCCUGCUAAGUGUCACAUUUACCCCAUGGUACAAAGCAUCAUCCAGCAGAAGAAAGGAUCAAUGAAAGGAGCCCUCAUGGACAUUUUAGAAGAACCUGUGAUGAAGGAAGAGGUGGAGGACACACCCAAAGAAGACCCAAUUAAACCCUGCACCAAGUCAUGCUAUUCAUUUGGAGAAGAAGGGCACAUCUCCUAGAAUUGUAUGAAUGGGGACCUAGUAAAAUUCCCAACAGAGGAAGUAGAGUAUGACCCACAGGAAAUAGAAGCCCUGAUUGGAACGGAAAAGUCCAGGAAGAGAAAUAGAUUGGAAUCCAGGAAGGACCUGAGUCAUAUCACCUGUUUUAGGAGCAAGGAGUCAGGGCACUACUUCAGCAGUUGCCCUAAAAGAAAGCCGAGGACCCAAGGAGGCUAUGUAAUCACAAGGAAACCACGAGUCUGGUCAGAAGUAAUAUGUUUUCGUUGUAAUGAAGCAGGGCACUUUGCCAGAGAUUGCCCCACGGAGAGGGAGACUUGUGUUAAUUAGUUGUGUCUGUUAGUAAUAUAGUAGUAGUAGUGACUACAAUUCUUUUUAUAUUGAGGUGUUGAGUGGAUGCAUGUAAUGGAAAUGCAAGAGAUUGUAUCCAUUGGAGAAUCAAUAAAUUUAGCAUCGUUGGUACUGAUUGGAUUUUAUGAGUUGUUACCCUAUGAAGCAAGAGUUUGACCAUUUUCAAGGAUAUGGGAAAUAUGGUCCAUGGAAGAUUGGAGCAUUUUAAGGGUGGUAGUACCCUAUGAGGACAUUUGAACCUCUGGAAAGGAUAAUGAUGUUCCACGGAGUGGACUUAAUAAGUACGAGUUUUAUCUCGAUAUGUUUGAUACCCCAAGAAUAUGAAGGGAUGAAGUACUAUUGGAUAUAAAGGGGGGUUGAAUGUUGAUAAUAUGGAGCAAGUGUAACCCUAUGAGGAGUUUGAGUAAUCACGUAUGAGUUUGGUACAAUAGAAGGAAGGGAAACAGUACAGUUGGAUGGAUUUAAGAAUGCUAGGAAGCUGGAUGUUGGAAUAAUGAUCAGUUGGCCCCGAUGAUGAGUUCAAGGUUUACAAGUGAUGAGAUGGGCCAUAACCCACAGGCCCCAGGACCUGCCAAGAAGCAAGCACAUCUUGCUGAAGGAAAAAAAAACCUGGAAGAAGUUACGAUUUCAUCGAUAGACAAUCUUAUAGGAGUAACGCAAAACCUGAGAGUUGUGAAGAAACGAUAGAUUGUUUGUCUAGCUUGCAGAAUCAUGGAUUUUUCCGAACCCAGUUCGUCGACAAGAGAAAGUCUGCAAUGCUUGUGAGGAUGACCGAGUGUUAGAAUGCGAGAUUCGCUAAACCAUAUACAAGGUAAUGAUUUGGGUGCGGGAUGGAUUGAUCACCAUACCGACUUACUCUUAUUAUUCGCCUUGCUAUGUGGGAUGGUAAAUCUGAGUGACUUAACCAUAGUAGAGCGACGACGAUCAAAACCUUGUUUAAACCAUACAAUGGUAUAAGAAUUUUUCCCUUGUAACACGACAGAUGUUGCCAAUCGUAGGUUAUACGGUGAGAAUGAAGUCCAGACCCAUUUCCUGCAGGAGAAACCAUAAAUUGUUGACCACCAUGAGAUAUCGAUAGUUGAUUAGUAUUGGCGCCAGACCCGUCAGCUAAGAACACCCAGUCUCGGAAUAACCUUACCAAGAUAAAAGGACACAAGAAUCGAGGUAAAGGUUAUGCCACUACAAGAAGAGACCAGAGAAGGAAUUAACCUAAAGAUCUCAGAAGACUGGUCCUGUCAAGAAUAACGAUGGAGUAUAUGAGUAUUGAUGGGACCAUAACAAUGUUUCUAAGGGUGGUAGCACCCCAGACCCCCUGUGAUGAUUGAUGGAUUUUGAGAAGACCCCAAACCAAACCUAUUUCUUUCUAGCCUCUCCGAAUCUCGAGGACGAGAUUCAUUUUAAGGGUGGUAGGUUUGUAACAUCCCAAAAUUCUAAAUUUUGGAAUGUUGUAUUAAAUAGAUAGAUUUGAUUGAUUGUUUGAUUGAUUGAGUGAAAUUCAAAACUUUUUGAAAGUUAAAUGAGAGGGAAUAAAAUGACUUUCCCAAAACUUUCACCUUGCUUUUAUGAUCUCCUUGAAUUCAAAUUCUUUUCAUGACAAAACCCUGGAGAGAAGAUAACAUGACUUCUUCCAUUUUAAAUAAAUGAAAAGGGAUUUGAAUUUUAUUUGGAAAUAUUUUCAAUUCAGAAAACUUUAAGCAACUCAAUGAUUUUCAUGAGAGAAGAUAAAAUGACUUCUACAAAACAUAUGAAAUAUGAGUUGGAAGUUUAAAAGGAUCAAAUUUAAAAUCCUUUUGAAAUUAUUUUCAAUUUGGGGUUAUUUGAGUUUUAUUCAAAUUAUUUUUCUCCAAAAAUAUAAUAUAUGGAAAAUAGGGUAACAUGAUUCCCUACAUCAGAAAAUUGGAGAUAAAUAAAUUUGAAAUCAUUUUGGUAUUUUUAAAAUGAUUUUUAUUGGAUUUUAGUAGGGUAGUAGCACUCUUUGAAUUAUUUGAAUUUUUCUUGAUUUUAUUUGACUUGACAAAAAUGUUCAAGUUGUAGGAAAUAAUUUUCUGAAAAUUUUGAUAUAUUAUAUGCCCCUAUAAUAUUUUUAUUUAUUUUGUUUUAUUGUUUUAAUUGUCUGUGUUUAAAAAAAUGUGUUAAAAAAACUUCGCCGACUGGGCCGGCCCAGCACCCAGCCAGGCCGCGGCCCAGCCAGCCCGACAGGAGCCCUCCUCCCGCACGCCACCGACGCCGCCGUACCGCCGCCGGAGUCCUCCCUCUCCUUGGCCCCUUCCCCAAGCCGCCGUUGCCCCUCCCCCUCUCAUUCGUUAGCGUUCGGUAGUGAACGUUCGUUAUUUAGUCUUUUUCUGUUUUAAUUUCGGCCAGGGACCUAUUCGCUAGGUUUUAUUUUUAUAGAUUAGCCCCUGGUUUUCAAACAACCGCAUCUUUUUACUCGUUUAUCCAAAUCCAACGAAACCAAUGUCCACUUCUUCAUAAUGAUCUCCUCUAUCCAUUUAAUCAAAUUGAACAUGUUUUUGAAAGUUUCAAAUUUUGAAUUUAAACAGUUUUAAAUUUGAACUUUGUUUGAUCGUAACUCGAGUUUUACAACUCCGUUUGAGUUGAUUCUUUUUGCUAUUCGAAGCUCUUGACCUAAACUUUCUGAUAAGG
rnacentral:lncRNA from 1 species